UGCAGUCGCACGGUAUGGCUUUCGGGCUGUGCAGUGGCGGACGGGUGAGUAUCGCGUAGGGGUUUAUCGUUGGGUGGGGGAUAACCGCGGGAAACUGCGGCUAAUACCGCAUGACGCCUGGGGGCCAAAGCCAGCAAUGGUGCCUGACGAGGAGCCUGCGUUCGAUUAGCUAGUUGGUUGGGUAAUGGCUGACCAAGGCGAUGAUCGAUAGCUGGUCUGAGAGGAUGAUCAGCCACACUGGGACUGAGACACGGCCCAGACUCCUACGGGAGGCAGCAGUGGGGAAUAUUGGACAAUGGGCGCAAGCCUGAUCCAGCAAUGCCGCGUGGAUGAAGAAGGUCUUCGGAUUGUAAAGUCCUUUCGGCGGGGACGAUGAUGACGGUACCCGCAGAAGAAGCCCCGGCUAACUUCGUGCCAGCAGCCGCGGUAAUACGAANGGGGCUAGCGUUGCUCGGAAUGACUGGGCGUAAAGGGCGCGUANGCGGAUGUUUUAGUCAGGCGUGAAAUUCCUGGGCUUAACCUGGGGGCUGCGUUUGAUACGGGGCAUCUAGA
rnacentral:rRNA from 1 species